rnacentral:rRNA from 1 species
AGUGAACGCUGGCGGCGUGCCUAAUACAUGCAAGUCGAACGGAGAUUAAGUAGCUUGCUAUUUAAUCUUAGUGGCGCACGGGUGAGUAAUAUAUAGCUAACUUGCCCAUUACUAAGGGACAACAGUUGGAAACGACUGCUAAUAUCUUAUACUCCGUAUCUAUAUAAGUAGAUACGGGAAAGUUUUUCGGUAAUGGAUAGGGCUAUAUCGUAUCAGCUAGUUGGUAAGGUAAUGGCUUACCAAGGCUAUGACGCGUAACUGGUCUGAGAGGAUGAUCAGUCACACUGGAACUGAGACACGGUCCAGACUCCUACGGGAGGCAGCAGUAGGGAAUAUUGCUCAAUGGGGGAAACCCUGAAGCAGCAACGCCGCGUGGAGGAUGACACUUUUCGGAGCGUAAACUCCUUUUCUUGGGAAAGAAUUAUGACGGUACCCAAGGAAUAAGCACCGGCUAACUCCGUG